AGUGAACGCUGGCGGUAGGCCUAACACAUGCAAGUCGAACGGCAGCACAGUAAGAGCUUGCUCUUACGGGUGGCGAGUGGCGGACGGGUGAGGAAUACAUCGGAAUCUACUUUUUCGUGGGGGAUAACGUAGGGAAACUUACGCUAAUACCGCAUACGACCUACGGGUGAAAGCAGGGGAUCUUCGGACCUUGCGCGAUUGAAUGAGCCGAUGUCGGAUUAGCUAGUUGGCGGGGUAAAGGCCCACCAAGGCGACGAUCCGUAGCUGGUCUGAGAGGAUGAUCAGCCACACUAGAACUGAGACACGGUCCAGACUCCUACGGGAGGCAGCAGUGGGGAAUAUUGGACAAUGGGCGCAAGCCUGAUCCAGCCAUACCGCGUGGGUGAAGAAGGCCUUCGGGUUGUAGAGCCCUUUUGUUGGGAAAGAAAAGCAGCAGGUUAAUACCCCGCUGUUCUGACGGUACCCAAAGAAUAAGCACCGGCUAACUUCGUG
rnacentral:rRNA from 1 species